rnacentral:antisense_RNA from 1 species
GGGUGCUUGAGACUGUUCGUCUUGGGCAUUGUGUGACAAGGCGGAUAGAUGAAAGCCCCAGACUGACUCUCAAUCAGAAUGGGGCUGCACAUACCGCCUAGACACCGGUAUGGUAGCCCCUUCACAGCAAGGAGGCAAGCCAUGUAUAAAAAACAUG